UGAUUUAAAUAUCUGUGUUCUGAUAUUGAAAGUUAUUUUAAGUUAGACUGUUUUCUUGGAUUUGCUAAAUGUUUAAAUAUGCGAUUGUAACUCUCUGGUGCCACCUUAAAACCUGUAGUCGGUAGUAGGACAUGAUGUCGUCAGUAAACAGGAAGUAAGUCUGUGAAAUAAGGAGAAGGCAUGUGCAGCAUGGUGGCCUUAGUCAGACAAAUCCAGUGGCAUCCACAUACAUCCUUUGCCUUUGGUAGCAUUGUGGUUUCACCUUUCCCUGUGUCAAUAAACCUGUGAACCGGGAAUCGUGUCGUCAGAGUCUUGAUGUGGGGAAGGAGUUUAGCUGACUGCCCAACCAUAGCAGAGGCAGUACAGUGAAACCACACUUCCUAGCGGGCAAGAUAACGUGGAAACGCCGACAGAUGUUUCACCUUUCCCUGUGUCAAUAAACCUGUGAACCGGGAAUCGUGUCGUCAGAGUCUUGAUGUGGGGAAGGAGUUUAGCUGACUGCCCAACCAUAGCAGAGGCAGUACAAUCUGAUACAUCAACCAAUG